rnacentral:tRNA from 1 species
AUGUUUGAAACAAUAAAUUGUAAUCAGUUUCGGCCUGAUAUUUAAGUUAAUUUUUAACUCAAACUUA